rnacentral:ribozyme from 1 species
GUGAUCAAAUGCCACUGACAUUUUUUCUUUUUUUCUUUUAUUUUUUUUUUUUUUUUUUUUUUUUUUUUUUUUUU